UGAGGAAUAUUGGUCAAUGCCCGCAAGGGUGACCCAGCAACGCCGCGUGGAGGAUGAAUGUCGUAAGAUUGUAAACUCCUGUUAGAGGGGAAGAAUAGUACCGGUUGGACCGGUAUAUGACUGUACCCUCAGAGAAAGCCCCGGCUAACUACGUGCCAGCAGCCGCGGGAAUACGUAGGGGGCAAGCGUUGUCCGGAUUUACUGGGUGUAAAGGGCGCGCAGGCGGGAUAAAAAGUCAGUGGUGAAAUCCUACAGCUUAACUGUAGAACUGCCUUUGAUACUUUUAUUCUUGAGUUCGGGAGAGAGAGACGGAAUUCCAGGUGUAGUGGUGAAAUACGUAGAUAUCUGGAAGAACACCAGUUGCGAAGGCGGUCUCUUGGUCCGACACUGACGCUGAGGCGCGAAAGCGUGGGGAGCAAACA
rnacentral:rRNA from 1 species